GGAUUUGUGGCUCAGUGGUAGAGUACUCACAUAGCACAUGUGAGGCACUGGAUUCAAUCUUCACCACAUUCA
rnacentral:tRNA from 1 species